rnacentral:rRNA from 1 species
AUUGAACGCUGGCGGCAGGCCUAACACAUGCAAGUCGAGCGAGCGGCGGACGGGUGAGUAAUGUAUGGGGAUCUGCCCGAUGGAGGGGGAUAACUACUGGAAACGGUAGCUAAUACCGCAUACCAUCAGAUGAACCCAUAUGGGAUUAGCUUGUAGGUGGGGUAAAGGCUCACCUAGGCGACGAUCUCUAGCUGGUCUGAGAGGAUGACCAGCCACACUGGGACUGAGACACGGCCCAGAAUCCUACGGGAGGCAGCAGUGGGGAAUAUUGCGCAAUGGGGGCAAGCCUGAUGCAGCCAUGCCGCGUGUAUGAAGAAGGCCUUAGGGUUGUAAAGUUCUUUCGGUGGCGAGGCGUUACCUACAGAAGAAGCACCGGCUAACUCCGUGCCAGCAGCCGCGGUAAUAC